ACUUUGUAGAUGAGGACACCAAGGCUCAGAGCGUUCAGUGACCAUUGUGGAUAUGAGAAGCAUUAGAGAAGUUAGAUGUGGACCCUGACAUUCAUAGAAAGAGUCCAAAAACAUCAAUGAGAGCACAUUAGGGCUAGUAACCAGCUUCCAAUAGGAAGCAGAGGCGAAAUUUGGGCGUGAGGGGACGAUGCAAGGGUGGAUCACAGAUCAAGAGGAUGCUGGUGUUGGUCAAAGUUGUGAGGUUGAUACGAUGUGUUGCAAAGAUCUGCAUAAUGUGUUUCAGGUUUCAUCCGGAGUAAAACAACUCGUCUGACCAGAAGAGUCCUUGCUUGAGGACUGCAAAUGCUGACGGCCUGGGUAAACACUACAUUUAUUCAGGCAUGCUCUAUCUUGAACAAGUGUCUAGUUAGUCUCCACAAAACUGCAUUUUGUACCAGGAACUCUAAAGCCUUUGGUGACUCACGAGCUAUAUGUGAGAAACUUUGGAGUGAUUGCUGUUGUUCACCAUAGCCAAUUAUCCUCACUGGGAGACCUCCUUCCUUGCAGUUAGAUUGGACCAUGUGACAAGUUCUGGCCAAUGAUAUGAGAGUGGAAGUGCCAUGUAUUGCUUUAGGACCCAGGAAAUUAAGAGUUCUCUACUCCUUUUUCCCGCCAUAGCAUCACCAGAAGCCCCAUGUUGCAGAGGUAGGAACAUGCAGCCUCGAUCUAUGAGUUACUGCUUGAAAGUGAGCUGUCCUGGAGAGCCAAGGGAACCAUAGCAGGCUUUGCAUGACCAAGAAAUUAACUUCUGAGUUUUGUUUUGAACCACUGACAUUAGAGGGUUGGUUUGUUUCUAGAACGUAGACUAACCUAUCCUAACUAAUAUGGAAACUUUGUUCAUGUAAAUAAGUAGGUAGG
rnacentral:lncRNA from 1 species